ensembl:lncRNA
GGGUUGGGUCCUCCUCUAGAUUAGUGAAGGAGAGGAGGGGUGGGUCCUCCUCUAGAUUAGUGAAGGACUGGAGGGUUGGGUCCUUCCCUAGGUUAGUGAAGGAUAGGAGGGUUGGGUCCUCCUCUAGAUUAGUGAAGGAGUGGAGGGUUGGGUCCUCCUCUAGAUUAGUGAAGGAGUGAAGGUCUGGGUCCUACCCUAGAUUAUUUAAGGAGUGGAUGGUUGGGUCCUCUAGAUUAGUGAAGGAGUGGAGGGUUGGGUCCUCCUCUAGAUUAGUGAAAGAGUGGAGGGUUGGGUCCUUCUCUAGGUUAGUGAAGGGUUGGGUCCUUCCCUAGGUUAGUGAAGGAUAGGAGGGUUGGGUCCUCCUCUAGAUUAGUGAAGGAUCAGGUGUUUGGGUCCUCCUCUAGAUUAGUGAAAAGGUGAAGGGUUCGGUCCUCCUCUAGAUUAGUGAAGGAGUGGAGGGUUGGGUCCUUCCCUAGGUUAGUGAAGGAGUGGAGGGUUGGGUCCUCCUCUGGAUUAGUGGAGGGUUGUGUCCUCCUCUAGAUUAGUGAAGGAUCAGAUGUUUGGGUCCUCCUCUAGAUUAGUGAAAAGGUGAAGGGUUCGGUCCUCCUCUAGAUUAGUGAAGGAGUGGAGGGUUGGGUCCUCCACUAGGUUAGUGAAGGAGUGGAGGGUUGGGUCCUCCUCUAGAUUAGUGAAGGAGUGGAGGGUUGGGUCCUCCUCUAGAUUAGUAAAGAAGUGGAGGUUUGGGUCCUCUAGAUUAGUGAAGGAGUGGAGGGUUGGGUCCUCCUCUAGAUUAGUGAAGGAUUGGAGGGUUGGGUCAUUCCCUAGGUUAGUGAAGGAGUGGAGGGUUGGGUCCUCCUCUAGAUUAGUGAUGG